rnacentral:rRNA from 1 species
UGAACAAAUCGCAUAGUUUUAAUACUGGCGAUAUAUCUCACGAGUUUCUGCCCUAUCAACUUGAUGUUAGUGUAUUGUACUAACAUGGUGAUAACGGGUAACAGAGAAUUAGGGUUCGAUUCUGGAGAAGGAGCAUGAGAAACGGCUACUAUUUCUAAGGAAAGCAGCAGGCGCGCAAAUUAUUCAAUGAAAA